AUAUGUGUAAAAAAUCAUAUUAUAUAUCAUAAAUGCUUAAUUAUUAUCACAUCAGCAUCAAUAAAAAAUUUUUAAAAAUAAAAAAAAUUGAAAUCUGAUUUUAAAAAAUUAAAAAAGAAAGAAACCAUAGAGGAGAGAGACGGGGGGAAGGAGGGAAGGGGAAAGAGAGAGAAGGAAAGGAGAGACUCUGUCGGUCGAUCUGAGAAUGAAAUUGGGGUCGAUUUGCCCUGGACCUGGCCAAUCUGCUUCAUUUGUCCCCAACGAGUAAGGUCGCUGUCGCUGUCGAUCUGUCAGAUUUGAGGCAGAUAGAUUCUGAUCCCACUCUAGGGUGACCGAUCGGUGCCAGCAAGGCCUUCCCUAUCUCCCUCAUUUCCUUCUAUCUCUCGAUCCCUUUUCUUCCUUCC
rnacentral:lncRNA from 1 species